ensembl:lncRNA
GAAGGAGCGCGCUCAGUAUUUCACGGCAGCAGAGCAAGAACUCUUGAUUGAGGGAUUUCAGGAGUUUCAGAGUUUAAUUAAAACGCAAGGGAACACUGCAAAGGCUGCAAAAGCAAGGAGAGAGGGCUGGCAGAAAGUUGCUGACAAAUUAAACUCCAACCAAGAAAAGGGCAGAGCAAAUAAAGACAGGUGGUGGUCCUGCACCCCCUCGUCACACCCCGGCAGAGGAGCUGGCCCUAGGGUCGAAUGCCACCAGACCCAUUGUUGAGGGCAUCCCUGGGGGCAGCUCUUCCUUAGACCAGCAGCCGGGGUGCAGUAGCAGCAGCACCUUCAUAACUGUUUUACAUAACACUCCAUCACUUCUACCUGUUCCCAUGCAAGGGGUGACUGAAGCAUGC